GAUGAACGCUAGCUACAGGCUUAACACAUGCAAGUCGAGGGGAAACGACAUCGAAAGCUUGCUUUUGAUGGGCGUCGACGGGCGCACGGGUGAGUAACGCGUAUCCAACCUGCCAACCACUUGGGGAUAACCUUGCGAAAGUAAGACUAAUACCCAAUGACGUCUCUAGAAGACAUCUGAAAGAGAUUAAAGAUUUAUCGGUGAUGGAUGGGGAUGCGUCUGAUUAGCUUGUUGGCGGGGUAACGGCCCACCAAGGCGACGAUCAGUAGGGGUUCUGAGAGGAAGGUCCCCCACAUUGGAACUGAGACGCGGUCCAAACUCCUACGGGAGGCAGCAGUGAGGAAUAUUGGUCAAUGGGCGAGAGCCUGAACCAGCCUAGUAGCGUGCAGGAUGACGGCCCUAUGGGUUGUAAACUGCUUUUAUAAGGGAAUAAAGUGAGUCUCGUGAGACUUUUUGCAUGUACCUUAUGAAUAAGGACCGGCUAAUUCCGUGCCAGCCGCCGCAGUAA
rnacentral:rRNA from 1 species